rnacentral:rRNA from 1 species
UGCAGCCGAGCGGUAUUGUUUCUUCGGAAAUGAGAGAGCGGCGUACGGGUGCGGAACACGUGUGCAACCUGCCUUUAUCUGGGGGAUAGCCUUUCGAAAGGAAGAUUAAUACCCCAUAAUAUAAGAAACGGCAUCGUUUUUUAUUGAAAACUCCGGUGGAUAGAGAUGGGCACGCGCAAGAUUAGAUAGUUGGUGAGGUAACGGCUCACCAAGUCUACGAUCUUUAGGGGGCCUGAGAGGGUGAUCCCCCACACUGGUACUGAGACACGGACCAGACUCCUACGGGAGGCAGCAGUGAGGAAUAUUGGACAAUGGGUGAGAGCCUGAUCCAGCCAUCCCGCGUGAAGGACGACGGCCCUAUGGGUUGUAAACUUCUUUUGUAUAGGGAUAAACCUACUCUCGUGAGAGUAGCUGAAGGUACUAUACGAAUAAGCACCGGCUAACUCCGUGCCAGCAGCCGCGGUAAUACGGAGGGUGCAAGCGUUAUCCGGAUUUAUUGGGUUUAAAGGGUCCGUAGGCGGAUCUGUAAGUCAGUGGUGAAAUCUCACAGCUUAACUGUGAAACUGCCAUUGAUACUGCAGGUCUUGAGUGUUGUUGAAGUAGCUGGAAUAAGUAGUGUAGCGGUGAAAUGCAUAGAUAUUACUUAGAACACCAAUUGCGAAGGCAGGUUACUAAGCAACAACUGACGCUGAUGGACGAAAGCGUGGGGAGCGAACAGGAUUAGAUACCCUGGUAGUCCACGCCGUAAACGAUGCUAACUCGUUUUUGGAUUUUCGGAUUCAGAGACUAAGCGAAAGUGAUAAGUUAGCCACCUGGGGAGUACGUUCGCAAGAAUGAAACUCAAAGGAAUUGACGGGGGCCCGCACAAGCGGUGGAUUAUGUGGUUUAAUUCGAUGAUACGCGAGGAACCUUACCAAGGCUUAAAUGGGAAAUGACAGGUUUAGAAAUAGACUUUUCUUCGGACAUUUUUCAAGGUGCUGCAUGGUUGUCGUCAGCUCGUGCCGUGAGGUGUUAGGUUAAGUCCUGCAACGAGCGCAACCCCUGUCACUAGUUGCCAUCAUUAAGUUGGGGACUCUAGUGAGACUGCCUACGCAAGUAGAGAGGAAGGUGGGGAUGACGUCAAAUCAUCACGGCCCUUACGCCUUGGGCCACACACGUAAUACAAUGGCCAGUACAGAGGGCAGCUACACAGCGAUGUGAUGCAAAUCUCGAAAGCUGGUCUCAGUUCGGAUUGGAGUCUGCAACUCGACUCUAUGAAGCUGGAAUCGCUAGUAAUCGCGCAUCAGCCAUGGCGCGGUGAAUACGUUCCCGGGCCUUGUACACACCGCCCGUCAAGCCAUGGAAGUCUGGGGUACCUGAAGUCGGUGACCGUAAAAGGAGC